rnacentral:rRNA from 1 species
UACAGAGGCCUCGAGCGUUAGGCGGAAUCACUGGGCUUAAAGCGUGUGUAGGUGGAUGCCUAAGUACCUUGUGAAAUCCCACAGCUUAACUGUGGAAUUGCUUGGUAUACUGGGUGUCUUGAGCCACUCAGGGGCUACCGGAACAAAUGGUGGAGCGGUGAAAUGCGUAGAUAUCAGGAGGAACACCGGUGGCGAAGGCGGAUCUCUGGGCCGAUACUGACGCUGAGGAGCGAAAGCGUGGGGAGCGAACAGG